AACACCCUGCAAUGUAUAACGACCCUGAAACAACAUACCGACACUGUCACGUCACUCUUAUGUUGGGACAAGUGUCUGAUAUCGUCUUCCUUGGAUGGGACCAUAAAAGUUUGGGCUUGUUCUGAAAAUGAUGUUUUGAAAGUUAGUUACUCAUACACGCAGACAAGAACAGAGUGUUGUUCAUGCUCUUUGUGGGAUGCACGAUGCAGAGGCCAAACCGAUCAUAUUCUGCUCUUACCAAAAUGGAACUGUUGGCAUCUACGGCCUACCAUCUUUUGAAGAAAGAGGAAAGAUGUUCUCUACGCGCACACGAUCAGCACACUCACAGUUGGUCCUGGAGGAUUGCUUUUCAGUGAAGACAAAGGUGGGAAUAUGCGUGUAUGGAGUUUAGCUGCUGGCCCAAAAGUUUAG